CCUACGGGAGGCAGCAGUCGGGAAUAUUGGGCAAUGGAGGAAACCCUGAUCCAGCAAUACCGCGUGAAGGAUGAAGGUUUUCGGAUUGUAAACUUCUGUCAUAAAGGAAGAAAAAAAUGACGGUACUUUAUAAGUAAGCUCCGGUGACCUAUGUGCCAGCAGCCGCGGUGCUACGUAGGGGGCACGCCUUGUCCGGAAUGACUGGGUGGAAAGGGUGUGUAGGUGGCUUAUUAAGUUAGAGGUGAAAGCCCGAAGCUCAACUUCGGAACUGCCUUUGAAACGGGUUGGCUUGAGUGUGGGAGAGGUUAGUGGAACUCCUAGUGUAGCGGUGGAAUGCGUAGAUAUUAGGAAGAACAUCAGAGGCGAAGGCGACUAACUGGAACAUUACUGACACUGAAACACGAAAGCGUGGGGAGCAAACAGGAUUAGAUACCCGUGUAGUC
rnacentral:rRNA from 1 species